UACGUAGGGGCAAGCGUUGUCCGGAUUCAUUGGGCGUAAAGAGCGUGUAGGCGGCCAGGUAGGUCGGUUGUGAAAACUGGAGGCUCAACCUUCAGACGUCGACCGAAACCAUCUGGCUAGAGUCCGGGAGAGGAGAGUGGAAUUCCUGGUGUAGCGGUGGAAUGCGCAGAUAUCAGGAGGAACACCAAUGGCGAAGGCAGAUCUCUGGGCCGUAACUGACGCUGAGGAGCGAAAGCAUGGGGAGCGAACAGG
rnacentral:rRNA from 1 species